UACGUAGGGCGCAAGCGUUGUCCGGAAUUAUUGGGCGUAAAGAGCUCGUAGGCGGUUUGUCGCGUCUGUCGUGAAAGCUUGGGGCUUAACCCCAAGUCUGCGGUGGAUACGGGCAGACUAGAGGCAGGUAGGGGAGAACGGAAUUCCCGGUGUAGCGGUGAAAUGCGCAGAUAUCGGGAGGAACACCGGUGGCGAAGGCGGUUCUCUGGGCCAGUACUGACGCUGAGGAGCGAAAGCGUGGGGAGCGAACAGG
rnacentral:rRNA from 1 species